rnacentral:rRNA from 1 species
CCUACGGUUGGCAGCAGUGGGGAAUAUUGGACAAUGGGCGAAAGCCUGAUCCAGCCAUGCCGCGUGUGUGAAGAAGGCCUUCGGGUUGUAAAGCACUUUCAGUGGGGAAGAAAGCCUUGGGGCUAAUACCCUCGAGGAAGGACAUCACCCACAGAAGAAGCACCGGCUAACUCCGUGCCAGCAGCCGCGGUAAUACGGAGGGUGCGAGCGUUAAUCGGAAUUACUGGGCGUAAAGCGCGCGUAGGCGGUCUGAUAAGCCGGUUGUGAAAGCCCCGGGCUCAACCUGGGAACGGCAUCCGGAACUGUCAGGCUAGAGUGCAGGAGAGGAAGGUAGAAUUCCCGGUGUAGCGGUGAAAUGCGUAGAGAUCGGGAGGAAUACCAGUGGCGAAGGCGGCCUUCUGGACUGACACUGACGCUGAGGUGCGAAAGCGUGGGUAGCAAACAGGAUUAGAUACCCCAGUAGUC